rnacentral:rRNA from 2 species
GGAGGUAGUGACAAUAAAUCACAAUGCGGGACUUUUAGUUUUGCAAUUGGAUUGAGAACAAUGUAAAAGAGUUAUCGAUAAACAAUUGGAGGGCAAGUCUGGUGCCAGCAGCCGCGGUAAUUCCAGCUCCAAUAGCGUAUAUUAACGUUGUUGCAGUUAAAAAGCUCGUAGUUGAAGUGUGGGGUGAAAAGUUGGUUGUUUCUUUGAAAUGGCUGUCUGCUCACCCCCUCUCCAAUGUGUUAUUAUGGGUAUUAAUUUACUUGUAGUAGCUAUUGGUCAUUUACUGUGAGAAAAUUAGAGUGUUCAAAGCAGGCAUUUGCUUGAAUAUAUUAGCAUGGAAUAAUAGUAAAAGGCUUUUGUGGUCGAUUUAAUUGGUUUGUUCAUAAAAGCAAGAUUAAUAGGGACAGUUGGGGGUAUUCAUAUUCAAUAGUUAGAGGUGAAAUUCUCGGAUUUAUGGAAGAUGAACAAGUGCGAAAGCA